rnacentral:lncRNA from 1 species
GUGCGUUUAAAGCGCAGACACUGACAGCAAGUCUUCCAGUCUCUCCAGUAUAACUUAAGUGACAUGCCAGCAAGAGAUGCAAUUUGGUCCCUCAACAGUGUUAAGUGAGUAGAAAUCUUAGGAAUCAAAAAGAAAAGGAAUACCAUGUAGACUGAAUUCCAGCUUACUACUUACCACUUAAAUCUGUUAUUUGAAAGAAUAACUUCUAAAAAUCAAAGUUUAUCUAACCACUGAAACAAACAUUGACAUCGGCCAGAUUCCACUCUCAUAUGACAAUCAAUGACAGACUUUUUCAAUCUGCCAAAAACUGGACUGGAAUUGCAAACAUUCAUUUGGCCACCUUGGAGGAGAAACUGAACAAAUAGCAGCAACCCCCUCUUCCAGAAUGUGAGAGCUCCCUCCACCUAAGAGCUAAAAGAAGCAAAUGCAAAGUUUUUCACUGGUUUUAGAGAAAUAAUGCUUUAGAUAUAAGCAAGCAUCACCUAUAGAAUUAGGUGAGCCCUGUGCCCAUGAAUCUAGUCCUUUCUACCUCUGAUCACUUGUUCAGUACAGUCUUAUCUGCUAACUUCCCUAAAGUAAUUUAUUUACCAAUUACAAUGGAAAAACCCAAGACAAUAUUCUCAGAAGACUUCAGAACCCAAGUUCUCCUCCUUUACACGCUCAGCUACUAAGAAGGCUUUCGUUUCCAUUAAUCCAGUAUUUAACUGAACAAAUUUUUAAGCCCUUAUCACCAACAUAAAGGUGCAGUAGAAAGAAAAUGAGUAUAACACAGUUCCCAUUACCAUCAAGCUUAUGGUUAUGAAGUGUGUAUGGGAGAGAUGGGAGAACCAUAUCAUAUGGUACACUAUGAUAAGAGUCACAGGACCGCCUGUUCAGGCUCUUCAUCUAAGGAGAAACAUACGUGCAGACAGAGCGACCUACAGUCUGUGCUACAACGACAUCUUCCACGCAUCCUGAGCUCGGUGUUACUUACCCUACAGUGGAAAUCCAAAUAGUCCAAAUAUCAACCAGCUGUUUCAGUGGGUAUGAAAAAUGGGACAGAUAAUCCAAAGCAGCCUUACUAGUAAUUAACUAUUGCUUCUACAAUGUAUUAUGAUUCAUCAAAGCUUUUAAUCAUUUAUAUUUUGCUUACACUAUUAAUAAAACUACAAUAUGCCCUGAGAACAUAGUAAAUUCUAGAGAAAUGCCUAUUUAAG